rnacentral:rRNA from 1 species
UACGUAGGUGGCAAGCGUUGUUCGGAAUUAUUGGGCGUAAAGCGCACGUAGGCGGUUUGUUAAGUCGGAUGUGAAAUCCCUCGGCUCAACUGAGGAAGUGCAUCCGAAACUGGCAAGCUUGAGUACGAAAGAGGGUCGCGGAAUUCCCGGUGUAGAGGUGAAAUUCGUAGAUAUCGGGAGGAACACCGGUGGCGAAGGCGGCGACCUGGGUCGAUACUGACGCUGAGGUGCGAAAGCGUGGGGAGCAAACAGG